rnacentral:rRNA from 1 species
AGUGAACGCUGGCGGUAGGCCUAACACAUGCAAGUCGAACGGCAGCACAGUAAGAGCUUGCUCUUACGGGUGGCGAGUGGCGGACGGGUGAGGAAUACAUCGGAAUCUACUUUUUCGAGGGGGAUAACGUAGGGAAACUUACGCUAAUACCGCAUAAGACCUACGGGUGAAAGCAGAGGAUCUUCGGACCUUGCGCGAUUGAAGGAGCCGAUGUCGGAUUAGCUAGUUGGCGGGGUAAAGGCCCACCAAGGCGACGAUCCGUAGCUGGUCUGAGAGGAUGAUCAGCCACACUGGACCUGAGACACGGUCCAGACUCCUACGCGAGGCAGCAGUGGGGAAUAUUGGACAAUGGGCGCAAGCCUGAUCCAGCCAUACCGCGUGGGUGAAGAAGGCCUUCGCGUUGUAAAUCUCUUUUGUUGGGAAAGAAAAGCAGCAGGUUAAUCCCCCGCUGUUCUGACGGUACCCAAUGAAUAAGCACCGGCUAACUUCGUG